rnacentral:rRNA from 1 species
GACGAACGCUGGCGGCGUGCUUAACACAUGCAAGUCGAACGGACAGGCCCUGCUUUUGUGGGGUGCUCGAGUGGCGAACGGGUGAGUAACACGUGAGUAACCUGCCCUUGACUUUGGGAUAACUUCAGGAAACUGGGGCUAAUACCGGAUAGGAGCUCCUGCUGCAUGGUGGGGGUUGGUAAGUUUCGGCGGUUGGGGAUGGACUCGCGGCUUAUCAGCUUGUUGGUGGGGUAGUGGCUUACCAAGGCUUUGACGGGUAGCCGGCCUGAGAGGGUGACCGGCCACAUUGGGACUGCGGGACGGCCCAGACUCCUACGGGAGGCAGCAGUGGGGAAUAUUGCGCAAUAGGCGGAAGCGUGAUGCAGCAACGCCGCGUGCGUGAUGACGGCCUUCGAGUUGUAAACCGCUUUCGCCUGUGACGAAGCGUGAGUGACGGUAAUGAGUAAGGAAGCACCGGCUAACUACGUG